rnacentral:rRNA from 1 species
UACGGGGGGGAGCAAGCGUUGUUCGGAUUUACUGGGCGUAAAGGGCGCGUAGGCGGCCACCGCAAGUCGGUUGUGAAAUCUCUGGGCUUAACCCAGAAAGGUCAACCGAUACUGCGGGGCUAGAGUGCAGAAGGGGCAACUGGAAUUCUCGGUGUAGCGGUGAAAUGCGUAGAUAUCGAGAGGAACACCUGCGGCGAAGGCGGGUUGCUGGGCUGACACUGACGCUGAUGCGCGAAAGCCAGGGGAGCGAACAGG